GUGCUGUUCGGGGGUGCAGGCUCCGGGGGGCGGGGGGCAGUCCGGCAGGGGUGCUGGGAGGCCUCGGGAACCGGGGAGCUGGGGCGAGCAGGCUCUGGGACCGGAACUGCUCUGAAAAGCGUCCAGUUAAACCCAGCAAGGCCAAAGCCCACGGGGCGAGGUCGGGAGCCCGCGGGGCAGCGCGGAAAAGCCACGCGCACCGCACCGCGGGGAACGGGUUACAAACAACAGGAAAUGUUGAACCAUUUUCUUUCCAGUGUGAGGGAUUGAGCCCCGGGCAGCCCCAGCCCUUUAAACUGUUUGUAUCUGACACGUGGUGUCGCUGAGUGGCUCGCAACCCCCCGCCCCCGGUACUGGGAUAACAGACGUGCGCCACGACUGCCGGUUGGCAAGCAUUUUAUUUAACGUAAAAAAAAAUCCACCACAUAGAAGAGGCUUCAGGGACACAGCCACGCGCGCCCCCGCCCACCGCGCGGCCCCGCCCACCGCACUUUUUCGUUGUGGCCGGGCGGGGGCGCGCGGGCUUCGUCAGCCGGCGCGUUCCCAGAGGCCCCCGUGCGCGCAUGCGCUACGCGCAGUGCCUGGAAGCCGGGGCGGCCGGUGUCCGGCUGUCGCCGUCGUGGGUCAGGUACGACGCGGGAGAGGGGGUUGCCCAAGUCCUCAGCUUAGGAGCCCUGGCGGACGCCGCGGGACCGGCCGCACCCGGCGGGGACCCCCACACACGGGUGCCCGCUGUGGAUCCCGAGUCGCGCAGACCGCGAGGGGAGAUAUCUGCCAGCCAGCUUCUGUGCAAGACAUCUGCUGCUGUGUUUCAGUAGUGUGAGCCUCUUCCAGGUCAAGAAGUUAUUUAAAACUAUGAGUGUCCCUUGUUUUUUGCUCGAACUUGAUCAAGCAGGUGUGUAAAGGGGGUGCUGAGAUCAAAAGUUUGACAACUCCUGUUCUAAUGCAAGUAGGAAGAGGAUUAACGAUGCACUUCUGAAUUCUGUAUGAUUCAUUUGUAAAAAUAGAAGUCCACCAUCCCAUAUGCAGCGUGGCCAGGUCACAUGGGAGGGGUAUCCGACCUGCUCCCUGUGUCCAAGGACCCUGUCAUUACGGAGCUGGAGUCGCUGAUGCCGCUGUAAGUGCUGGUUUCCUUCACUGCACCUCCUUCUUUGGCUUCUCCGCGGCUCUCGGUAACCUGGGAGGCACAGCCUCCCUCCCAGUCUUGGCUUCCUCUCCCAGGCCUGUGUCACAGCAGACCUUUGAAGGCCGGAAGGUGAACUGGGAGAUGGGGUAUCGACUCAGAAGCAAGUGGGUGUGGGUGCAUCUCUUUGGUUGGAGGGUUUAUGGGGUGCCUGCUGUGUUCCGAGCUCUGCACCAGGCCCGAGAGAGACUGGGCAGUCGGCAGAUGUGAUUCCCGCGGUACCGGGGUGGGCUCCUUUGUUCCUUUGUUUCCCUUCCAGUGUCCAUUAGUGCGGGGCCUGGGCCACCUGGGCUGCCUAGCCGGAUUGAUGCUGGGUGGUUGCCCCGCGAGUGCCUGUGUUUGCAGUGGUCUCGUCUCAGAAAUGGUCAAGAAGGGCUGUCUGUGG
rnacentral:lncRNA from 1 species